rnacentral:rRNA from 1 species
AGUGGGGGACAACAUCUCGAAAGGGAUGCUAAUACCGCAUACGUCCUACGGGAGAAAGCAGGGGAUCUUCGGACCUUGCGCUAAUAGAUGAGCCUAAGUCGGAUUAGCUAGUUGGUGGGGUAAAGGCCUACCAAGGCGACGAUCUGUAGCGGGUCUGAGAGGAUGAUCCGCCACACUGGGACUGAGACACGGCCCAGACUCCUACGGGAGGCAGCAGUGGGGAAUAUUGGACAAUGGGGGGAACCCUGAUCCAGCCAUGCCGCGUGUGUGAAGAAGGCCUUAUGGUUGUAAAGCACUUUAAGCGAGGAGGAGGCUACUUUAGUUAAUACCUAGAGAUAGUGGACGUUACUCGCAGAAUAAGCACCGGCUAACUCUGUGCCAGCAGCCGCGGUAAUACAGAGGGUGCGAGCGUUAAUCGGAUUUACUGGGCGUAAAGCGUGCGUAGGCGGCUUAUUAAGUCGGAUGUGAAAUCCCCGAGCUUAACUUGGGAAUUGCAUUCGAUACUGGUGAGCUAGAGUAUGGGAGAGGAUGGUAGAAUUCCAGGUGUAGCGGUGAAAUGCGUAGAGAUCUGGAGGAAUACCGAUGGCGAAGGCAGCCAUCUGGC